AACGAACGCUGGCGGCAUGCCUAACACAUGCAAGUCGAACGAGACCUUCGGGUCUAGUGGCGCACGGGUGCGUAACGCGUGGGAACCUGCCCUUAGGUUCGGAAUAACUCCCCGAAAGGGGUGCUAAUACCGGAUAAUGUCUUCGGACCAAAGAUUUAUCGCCUUUGGAUGGGCCCGCGUUGGAUUAGCUAGUUGGUAGGGUAAAAGCCUACCAAGGCGACGAUCCAUAGCUGGUCUGAGAGGAUGAUCAGCCACACUGGGACUGAGACACGGCCCAGACUCCUACGGGAGGCAGCAGUGGGGAAUAUUGGACAGUGGGCGAGAGCCUGAUCCAGCAAUGCCGCGUGAGUGAUGAAGGCCUUAGGGUUGUAAAGCUCUUUUACCCGGGAUGAUAAUGACAGUACCGGGAGAAUAAGCUCCGGCUAACUCCGUG
rnacentral:rRNA from 1 species